UGUUUUUUGUUUGAGCAUUCCGGGUAGAUUCACAGAAGUGGAAGAACAUUGUAUUGAUGUGAAAUAUGAUAAAUUUGCCUGUAAGAAUAUAAAGGGCAUAUUGGUGUGGACUUUCCAGUUUUCUCACACUGGAUCAGAAGUGGUAAAGAAAGAAGGAGGUUAUGGAAGUCAGGACAGACUGCAUAUAACACUAUGCCGGAAAAAAGACCUUGUUGCAGUGUUUAUCACUAAUGUUUAACAGUCAGCAGUCUGAUAAGCUGACAGACUGAGAAGAAGCCCACCCCAGAGCCAUAAAUGGUUGGUGAAAUUCAACACGAGCAAAUGCGAGGUCUUGCACUUUGGAAAAAAGAAUACAGGCAUGGACUAUUUUCUAAAUGAUGCUGCCAAGCCUGCUGCAAUUUCCCAGCAUUUUCUGUUUUCGUUCCCCAUUUAACUUCGGCAGAAAUACCUCAGACAGCGGCCUUCCGAAUUGGCUCUAGUGACACCCGGCGAGCCCCCUUUCCCCUGUGAGCUCCACCUCCACACCAGAGAUGGUAGCCAUUCAACCUUCACAAGAUGCACUGCUCCUUAAACAGAUUUAGACUAAGGAGCACAAUCCGAGCAGACCAUUGAUAUAUCUCUGCAGCUAGUCAAGGAACAGUUACCUCAGGCCUGCUGGAAACCAGGUUCCUGCUCAGCCCCAGGCAAGAGAAAAGCUCCUGUUCCCGGCCAUUAAUGACAUCAAACAUCAAACAGGACUAUCGACAAUUGUGAGGUGUCAUGCAUGUCUCCACGUGUUCCUUGAAAUGACCUGGCAUAAAAAUCAGGACAGCUGUGACCAUAUUUGCCACUGGGAUGGAAUUGUCAUCCAGUCUUUCUGAAACACAGGUACUACUCCAGCAGGUGACUUUUUGGAGAUGAUGGGCAGAGAGAUCCUCAAUCAGCACCUGCACUGUCUUUCGAUAUUGGAGAAAAAGACAGCAAUGCCUAUAAAUGCCAAGUCUUCACCAACUUCACCUGUUGCUCUAGAGAUUGUACCACAGUCACUCAAGGUUACUGUUCUCACUGGGUGUACUGACAAGUUGUAAUUGCUGCAUCCUAUGUCAUCUUUGUAAUAAUACUAAGGCCAAAAUGACAUCAGCUAUGCAUUAUCUACAGGCAAUCAGUGAGCAGAUAAUCUAUGAAGAAUUUCAGAAAGUCAAUGCAAUCUUAUUGAAGGAAUUUUGGAGCCUUCACAUUGUUGGGGAGAUUUCACUGGGGUGUUUAAUGUAGGGCUA